rnacentral:rRNA from 1 species
UGAGUAACGCGUGAGCAACCUGUCCCAGACAGGGGGAUAACACUUGGAAACAGGUGCUAAUACCGCAUAAGACCACGGGGUCACAUGGCUCUGGGGUAAAAGGAGCAAUCCGGUUUGGGGUGGGCUCGCGUCCGAUUAGAUAGUUGGUGAGGUAACGGCCCACCAAGUCGACGAUCGGUAGCCGACCUGAGAGGGUGAUCGGCCACAUUGGAACUGAGAGACGGUCCAAACUCCUACGGGAGGCAGCAGUGGGGAAUAUUGGGCAAUGGGCGAAAAAGCCUGACCCAGCAACGCCGCGUGAGUGAAGAAGGCCUUCGGGUUGUAAAGCUCUGUUAUAGGGGACGAAGGAAGUGACGGUACCCUAUAAGGAAGCCCCGGCUAACUACGUGCCAGCCGCCGC